CUCAUAGGUAUGUUUAUGGGUAAAUGCUAAUAUUUUCGUCUUCUCUCUCCUUUCCAUUAAAAAAAAUUUUAGGUACAAGUUGCUAGAGGUUAACCCUACAAUGAGUCUUUAUACAACAGACUAUUCGGUGGAACUGGAAUGGAUUCUGAGUGGCGAUUAAUGUAGCCGCAGCGGUGUAUACAGUGACUGCAGGGCUGUGUGCAUUGCCUCAUUUUGAAAAGACAAGAAAAAACAGAAUGGGCAUGUUGCCACAGAUACAGAUGUAGGACACAUGGGAGAAACAUUCUGGAAGUCGGGGCGGGGAAGGUGUGAGAAGAUGAGUGCACAGCUGAGGACUUUGUCCGAACAGCACCAAGGCUGAACCAGUCAGGUUUCGAAAUAAUUUUGAUGAUCCUUUCCAAACUGGUGGUGUUUC